AUUGAACGCUGGCGGCAGGCCUAACACAUGCAAGUCGAACGAGUGGCGGACGGGUGAGUAAUGUCUGGGACACUACCUGAUGGAGGGGGAUAACUACUGGAAACGGUAGCUAAUACCGCAUACCCUCAGAUGUGCCCAGAUGGGAUUAGCUAGUAGGUGGGGUAACGGCUCACCUAGGCGACGAUCCCUAGCUGGUCUGAGAGGAUGACCGGACACACUGGAACUGAGACACGGUCCAGACUCCUACGGGAGGCAGCAGGGGGGAAGAGCGCACAAUGGGCGCAAGCCUGAUGCAGCCAUGCCGCGUGUAUGAAGAAGGCCUUCGGGUUGUAAAGUACUGUCAGCGGGGAGGCGUUACCCGCAGAAGAAGCACCGGCUAACUCCGUGCCAGCAGCCGCGGUAAUAC
rnacentral:rRNA from 1 species